UUAAGUUCAGCGGGUACCCCUACCUGAUCCGAGGUCAAUUCAUUGAAUAUGGUUUGUUGUCUGGCGGACCCAGAGGGAUCUUCCAAAGCGGGAUAUAAUUUACUACGCUUGAAGUCCGACCGGACCGCCCAUGCUUUUGGGGCCCGCCGGGGAGGCGAAGGCCCAAUACCAAGCUACGCUUGAGGGGUGCAAUGACGCUC
rnacentral:misc_RNA from 1 species